GGAAGUAAAAGUCGUAACAGGGUUUCCGUAGGUGGACCUGCGGAAGGAUCAUUAUUGUAUAACCGAGGUGCGAGGGCUGUCGCUGACCCGAAAGGUCGUGCACGCCCGUGUGCCCUCACACACAUCCAUCUCACCCCUAUGUGCACCACCGCGUGGGUCCCCCUUUGGCUUGUUCGGAGGGGGGCUUACGUUUUCACACAAACUUUGUAUGCAGUGUAGAAUGUAUUUUUUGUUUUUGCGAUCACGCAAUCAAUACAACUUUCAACAACGGAUCUCUUGGCUCUC
rnacentral:misc_RNA from 1 species